AGAGUUUGAUCCUGGCUCAGAACGAACGCUGGCGGCGUGGAUAAGACAUGCAAGUCGAACGAGAGAAUUGCUAGCUUGCUAAUAAUUCUCUAGUGGCGCACGGGUGAGUAACACGUGAGUAACCUGCCCCCGAGAGCGGGAUAGCCCUGGGAAACUGGGAUUAAUACCGCAUAGUAUCGAAAGAUUAAAGCAGCAAUGCGCUUGGGGAUGGGCUCGCGGCCUAUUAGUUAGUUGGUGAGGUAACGGCUCACCAAGGCGAUGACGGGUAGCCGGUCUGAGAGGAUGUCCGGCCACACUGGAACUGAGACACGGUCCAGACACCUACGGGUGGCAGCAGUCGAGAAUCAUUCACAAUGGGGGAAACCCUGAUGGUGCGACGCCGCGUGGGGGAAUGAAGGUCUUCGGAUUGUAAACCCCUGUCAUGUGGGAGCAAAUUAAAAAGAUAGUACCACAAGAGGAAGAGACGGCUAACUCUGUGCCAGCAGCCGCGGUAAUACAGAGGUCUCAAGCGUUGUUCGGAAUCACUGGGCGUAAAGCGUGCGUAGGCUGUUUCGUAAGUCGUGUGUGAAAGGCGCGGGCUCAACCCGCGGACGGCACAUGAUACUGCGAGACUAGAGUAAUGGAGGGGGAACCGGAAUUCUCGGUGUAGCAGUGAAAUGCGUAGAUAUCGAGAGGAACACUCGUGGCGAAGGCGGGUUCCUGGACAUUAACUGACGCUGAGGCACGAAGGCCAGGGGAGCGAAAGGGAUUAGAUACCCCUGUAGUCCUGGCAGUAAACGGUGCACGCUUGGUGUGCGGGGAAUCGACCCCCUGCGUGCCGGAGCUAACGCGUUAAGCGUGCCGCCUGGGGAGUACGGUCGCAAGAUUAAAACUCAAAGAAAUUGACGGGGACCCGCACAAGCGGUGGAGUAUGUGGCUUAAUUCGAUGCAACGCGAAGAACCUUACCUGGGCUUGACAUGUAAUGAACAACAUGUGAAAGCAUGCGACUCUUCGGAGGCGUUACACAGGUGCUGCAUGGCCGUCGUCAGCUCGUGUCGUGAGAUGUUUGGUUAAGUCCAGCAACGAGCGCAACCCCUGUUGCCAGUUACCAGCACGUGAAGGUGGGGACUCUGGCGAGACUGCCCAGAUCAACUGGGAGGAAGGUGGGGACGACGUCAGGUCAGUAUGGCCCUUAUGCCCAGGGCUGCACACGUACUACAAUGCCCAGUACAGAGGGGGCCGAAGCCGCGAGGCGGAGGAAAUCCUGAAAACUGGGCCCAGUUCGGACUGUAGGCUGCAACCCGCC
rnacentral:rRNA from 1 species